UCGUUACUAAUUAUCCCGUCUUUGUAUUUUUUGUAUAUUAGGUAUCUAGUUUUCAAGGUUUGAUUCCGUUCAUUCCGUCUAAAAUAGCUACUUUUUCCGUUAAAUAAUAAUGAAAAGAACAAAAUACCUUUAAUAAAAUAAAAUUCUCUAUCUUCUCUCCUUCUCUUUUUGCUUUUGUAAACCUCUUGAAUCUCUUCGACCCUCCUCUUCCUUCUCCUUUUCAUCUCCAUCACCAACCGUUUCUUCGUGCUCCACCACCACUAUAGCAGCAAUCACAAAAGGCUUGUGUCUCUAGAUCACUUACUGAACUCAAAAGCUUCUCUCAUCUUCUUCACCAUAUCUUAUCUUUUGCAAAGCUGCAUGGUUGUUGGUUUUGAGAUUAGCCAUUUCAAAAUUGAAGGUGUUUAUGAAUAUGUUGUUGAUUUUGAGAUCGAGUGUUGAUUUUCAAAAUGGUUGUUGAUUUUGAGAUCGGGUAUUUCAAAACAAGAAAAUUAUGUUAAUUGCCUCUUAAUCCGUUCUUUCCAUUCUCAUGACAACCACUUUCUUCUUUUUCUUCUCUGCAGUAGUCGAAAUUUUUCCUCAGUUUUCUACUCUUUCAUCUUUCCAUCUUCCCAACAAACUCAAUUGUUUCCUUAUGCGUAACUCUCUCUUUCCUUGGGUUUUAUUUAUUUUAUUUUAAUUUUCUGUUAUUUCUUUAAUUUUAUUUUGCAUUAUUAUUGUGUUAAGUUGUUUGCCAAUUUCUCUCUCUUUUGGAUGCUGUUUACUUUUAUUUCUCAUAGUUUGUAAGAGUAUGAAAAUCAUGUAACUAUGCUAUUUUAUGUUGUUUGAUGAUAAAUACUUGUUUGGUUUUCUAAAGGUGAAAAUGGACUGUGAUAAAAUUUAUCAAGUGCUAAUUUGAGAAGAUUUUCCAUUUCUUUCACAAACUCUAGCUUCAAAAAAAAUUUACUUUGUGAUGAUGGUGCUCUUUUGUUGGUAGUGGUGGUGAAUACUCUAUUUGUGGUUGUCAGUGAUAAUAAGUUCAUGUGAAAUGAUUUUUCCAGAUUUUGUUAAGGGUGCAUUUGUCAUUUUAAAAUAUUUAUCUCUCUGUCUUUCUUACUUUUUAGUCUCAUUUAAUUGGAAAAAGAGAUGAUUUCAAAUGGAAAGACCAUUUAAUGAAACGGAACUAGAUCUCGAGGACUAAUACCUAAUAGACAAAAAUAUGAGGACCAAAUAAUUAAUUUUAUAAAAUCUCAGGACGAAAUAAUUAUUUUUUCUUAUUUUUAACAUUACCUUCCUCUACCAUCAAAGCAAACAAAAGAAUGCGAUUAAACAUUCA
rnacentral:lncRNA from 1 species